rnacentral:rRNA from 1 species
UAAGGAAUAUUGGUCAAUGGACGCAAGUCUGAACCAGCCAUGCCGCGUGAAGGAUUAAGGUCCUCUGGAUUGUAAACUUCUUUUAUCUGGGACGAAAAAAGGCGAUUCUUCGUCACUUGACGGUACCAGAUGAAUAAGCACCGGCUAACUCCGUGCCAGCAGCCGCGGUAAUACGGAGGGUGCAAGCGUUAUCCGGAUUCACUGGGUUUAAAGGGUGCGUAGGCGGGCAGGUAAGUCAGUGGUGAAAUCCUAGAGCUUAACUCUAGAACUGCCAUUGAUACUAUCUGUCUUGAAUAUUGUGGAGGUAAGCGGAAUAUGUCAUGUAGCGGUGAAAUGCUUAGAUAUGACAUAGAACACCUAUUGCGAAGGCAGCUUACUACGCAUAUAUUGACGCUGAGGCACGAAAGCGUGGGGAUCAAACAGGAUUAGAUACCCUGGUAGUCCACGCCCUAAACGAUGAUUACUCGACAUUUGUGAUACACUAUAAGUGUCUGAGCGAAAGCAUUAAGUAAUCCACCUGGGAAGUACGACCGCAAGGUUAAAACUCAAAUGAAUUGACGGGGUCAUAGCUGUUUCCUG